rnacentral:lncRNA from 1 species
GCUAGGCCGGCACUGCCUAGGUGGGCCGGGCGGUGCGAGGGUCGCCUUUCAGCCUUUACCUCUACCCACUGAAAUGGAGUAGGUCGGUGAGCGCCGAUCUGCUGGAGAAUCUCAUUAUCCCAUCGGCGCUCUGCCUGCUCCUGGCCUCCAAGCCUCUGAAGCCCCUCGGGUUUCAGCUGCCGGCUACCCUCGAGCCCGUGGUGCCCACGAGAGAGGCGACUUUACGUCAGCGGCCCUGGGCUGAGAUUUGAGAACGCGACCAAGUGGAGAAUGUUGGAGCCAGAUUUUAAAAUCCUUGUCUUCCUUCUGCGUGCUACUUGAUCUAAAUGAGAUACGGCAAAGUCACAGAACCUGUUUUUAUGUUUUUGCCUGAUUCAUACGGGCUUCUCCGGUGAAGAUGGGCCUGAAGUAACGCUUGGGUUGCUUCUGACGUUAUAACUCAUCCUGUAGCUGCAGCAACCGUGGUCCUUGCAACCUCAUAAAAAUGUUGCCAGCAUUGUUUCGAUAGUGCUGCUUAAUUCUUGGAAGGUUCUUCGGACUUCACACAUUCCAGCAGUAGCUCUCUCAGCUCCUGUCCUGCACAGCUUUGAAGUGCUGGUGAUGUCAUUGAACUCUUAAGUGCAAGAUGAAACAAGUCUUUCUGGGGUUCUAAGUAGAAAUGCAUAUGUAUCUUUGGAAGAAACUCUGAAGUAAAGGCCGGAAUAUUCUUUGUUUAAAACAUUAAAAACAAAACAGACCAAAGCAUCAAGCAAGAAGUUUCCUGGCAAUAAACUAAGCACAGCAUUAUUUUUUAAGGAACACAAAUUAAGUGUUCAACCUGUGGCAAAUUUGUACUUUCUCCCUGAAUUAUGUUGUUAUCAAAGAAAAAAAUUGGGAAGCAUGGCAAAAUAUCAUCAAAACUGAAACUAGAAUUAAACAAAACUAAAUUAAAAUGAAAUAAAAUGAUGUCCAUUCUUAAUUCAUCCUCACAACUGGGCCACUAGUUUUAUGCAUCUUGGCAGCCAAUAUUUUUGUC